rnacentral:tRNA from 1 species
GUAUAGAUAAGUUAAAAUACAAAACUACUAGACUCAUACCCUAGCAAUAGCAGAUUAAAACUCUCUUCUAUACU